GAUGAACGCUAGCGAUAGGCUUAACACAUGCAAGUCGAGGGGCAGCACAAGGUAGCUUGCUAUCUGGGUGGCGACCGGCGCACGGGUGCGUAACGCGUAUGCAACUUGCCCUAUACAGGAGGAUAACCCGUCGAAAGACGGACUAAUACUGCGUAUGCUCACAACUUGGCAUCAAGUGGUGAGGAAAGAAAUUCGGUAUAGGAUAGGCAUGCGUCCCAUUAGCUUGUUGGUGAGGUAACGGCUCACCAAGGCAGCGAUGGGUAGGGGAACUGAGAGGUUUACCCCCCACACUGGUACUGAAACACGGACCAGACUCCUACGGGAGGCAGCAGUGAGGAAUAUUGGUCAAUGGGCGCGAGCCUGAACCAGCCAAGUCGCGUGAAGAAUGACUGUCUUAUGGAUUGUAACCUUCUUUUAUCCGGGAAUAACAAGGGUCACGUGUGACUCCCUGCAUGAACCGUAGGAAUAAGCAUCGGCUACUCCGU
rnacentral:rRNA from 1 species